AGGAUAAACGCUGGCGGCGUGCAUGAGACAUGCAAGUCGAACGGACGAUCAGGGCUUGCUCUGAUCGUUAGUGGCGGACGGCUGAGUAACGCGUAGGUGACCUGCCCCGAAGUGGGGAAUAACUGCCCGAAAGGGUGGCUAAUACCGCAUGUGGUGGUGUGUUCAUUCACACCAGUAAAGCCGCAAGGCGCUUCGGGAGGGGCCUGCGUCCGAUUAGCUCGUUGGUGGGGUAACGGCUCACCAAGGCGACGAUCGGUAGGUGGUCUGAGAGGACGAUCACCCAGACUGGGACUGAGACACGGCCCAGACUCCUACGGGAGGCAGCAGUCGGGAAUUUUGCGCAAUGGACGAAAGUCUGACGCAGCAACGCCGCGUGAGGGAUGAAGGCCUUCGGGUUGUAAACCUCUUUUAUCAGGGAAGAUAAUGACGGUACCUGAUGAAUAAGUCACGGCUAACGUACGUGCCAGCAGCCGCGGU
rnacentral:rRNA from 1 species